UAUACAUGCAGUCGAGCGGAUUAUCCUUCGGGAUAAGUUAGCGGCGGACGGGUGAGUAACACGUAGGUAACCUGCCUAUAAGACUGGGAUAACUAUCGGAAACGAUAGCUAAGACCGGAUAACUGGUUUUCUCGCAUGAGAGAAUUAUGAAACACGGAGCAAUCUGUGGCUUAUAGAUGGGCCUGCGGCGCAUUAGCUAGUUGGUGAGGUAACGGCUCACCAAGGCGACGAUGCGUAGCCGACCUGAGAGGGUGAACGGCCACACUGGGACUGAGACACGGCCCAGACUCCUACGGGAGGCAGCAGUAGGGAAUCUUCCGCAAUGGACGCAAGUCUGACGGAGCAACGCCGCGUGAGUGAUGAAGGUUUUCGGAUCGUAAAGCUCUGUUGCCCUAGACGAACAGCAAGGAGAGUAACUGCUCUUUGUGUGACGGUAUAGGAGAAGAAAGCCCCGGCUAACUACGUGCCAGCAGCCGCGGUAAUACGUAGGGGGCAAGCGUUGUCCGGAAUUAUUGGGCGUAAAGCGCGCGCAGGCGGUCAAUUAAGUUGGGUGUUUAAGCCCGGGGCUCAACCCCGGUUCGCAUCCAAAACUGGUCGACUUGAGUGUAGGAGAGGAAAGUGGAAUUCCACGUGUAGCGGUGAAAUGCGUAGAGAUGUGGAGGAACACCAGUGGCGAAGGCGACUUUCUGGCCUAUAACUGACGCUGAGGCGCGAAAGCGUGGGGAGCAAA
rnacentral:rRNA from 1 species